AGCUCCAAUAGCGUAUACUAAAGUUGUUGCAGUUAAAACGCCCGUAGUUGAAACUUGAUUGGCUGCCGGCUUGGUCGACCGAGACGGUAUGCACCGGUUGGCACCAAUCUCCUGCUGGGUGCUCGCCAAUGCUCUUAAGUGAGCGUUGGUUCCUCGCGAGGGGAGUGCGUUUCGGCGCGCUGGGCUCCAGUUCGUUUACUGUCAAUAAAUCAGAGCGCUUCAAGCAGGCUUUCAUGCCGUGAAUGCUCCAGGAUGGGAUAAUGGAACAGGACUCGAUUCUGUGUUUUGUUGGUUCGAGGAUUGAGUAAUGAUUAAUAGGAACGGUUGGGGGCAUCCGUAUUGCUGAGUCAGUGGUGAAAUACGUAGAUUUCAGCAAGACGAACCUAUGCGAAGGCAUUUG
rnacentral:rRNA from 1 species